CCUACGGGUGGCAGCAGUGAUGAAUAUUGGUCAAUGGCCGAGAGGCUGAACCAGCCAAGCAGCGUGCGGGAUGACGGUCCUAUGGAUUGUAAACUUCUUUUAUGCGGGGAUAAACUGAGUCACGUGUGGCUUAUUGCAGGUACCUCAUGAACAAGGAUCGGCUAAUUCCGUGCCAGCAGCCGCGGUAAUACGGAGGGUCCGGGCGUUAUCCGGAUUUAUUGGGUUUAAAGGGAGCGCAGGCGGUCCCUUAAGCGUGUUGGUAAAUGCCGCGGCUCAACCCGGGCACGGCGGGGGAAACUGGGAGGCUUGAGUGGGACGGAGGUAGGCGGAAUGCGUGGUGUAGCGGUGAAAUGCAGAGAUAGCGCGAAGAACUCCGAUUGCGAAGGCAGCAUGCCGGAGCCUUACUGACGCUGAGGCACGAAGGUGCGGGUAUCGAACAGGAUUAGAUACCCUGGUAGUC
rnacentral:rRNA from 1 species